rnacentral:rRNA from 1 species
GUCGAAAGCCGUGCCACCCUGAACGCACCCGACCUCGUCUGAUCUCGGAAGCGAAGCAGUGCUGGGCCUGGUCAGUGCUUGGAUGGGAGAACUUAGGAGGGUGGAGAUUCUGCCA